rnacentral:rRNA from 1 species
CGGAGGAUCCAAGCGUUAUCCGGAAUCAUUGGGUUUAAAGGGUCCGUAGGCGGUUUAGUAAGUCAGUGGUGAAAGCCCAUCGCUCAACGGUGGAACGGCCAUUGAUACUGCUAGACUUGAAUUAUUAGGAAGUAACUAGAAUAUGUAGUGUAGCGGUGAAAUGCUUAGAGAUUACAUGGAAUACCAAUUGCGAAGGCAGGUUACUACUAAUGGAUUGACGCUGAUGGACGAAAGCGUGGGUAGCGAACAGGAUUAGAUACCCUGGUAGUCCACGCCGUAAACGAUGGAUACUAGCUGUUGGGAGCGAUCUCAGUGGCUAAGCGAAAGUGAUAAGUAUCCCACCUGGGGAGUACGUUCCCAAGAAUG